rnacentral:rRNA from 1 species
CGACAGUGUAUGCUAAAGUUGUUGCGGUUGAAAGCUCGUAGUUGGAUCUUGGGUGGGUGCCGCCGGUCCGUCGCAAGGCGUGUUACUGGCGGCGCUCGCCUCGGUUUCGGUUCUCCGUCGGUGCUCUUGACUGAGUGUCGGCGGUGGCCGAUAAGUUUACUUUGAAAAAUUAGAGUGUUCAAAGCAGGCUGCUCGCCUGCAUAGUGUUGCAUGGAAUAAUGGAAUAGGACCUCGGUUCUAUUUUGUUGGUUUUCGGAGCACGAGGUAAUGAUUAAGAGGGACAGACGGGGGCGUCCGUACUCUGCCGUUAGAGGUGAAAUUCUUGGAUCGGCGGAAGACGAACUACUGCGAAAGCAUUCGCCAAGAAUGUUUUCUUUAAUCAAGAGCGAAAGUCAGAGGUUCGAAGAUGAUCAGAU